AUAAAAUUUAAGACCAACCAUUAUAUGUUAAACACAAGAGUGAUAUACAAUAAAUGAAUAUGGCUUUCCAAGAUAUAAUUUCUCCAAUCAAGUAAUGUUGGUCUGCGAUAAAAGUUUCACCACUAAACCAAAGUUCCUAUUUUUCUUCCCUACUAUUCCAGCUUGAUGCAUCUAAUCUUGCUUUAUCUCCCUUGCUAAGAGACACAGGAACAGGAACACAUCCAACAAGUUAAACAAAUUCUAUUGAUCUACUAUCCACCCCUUAAAGAUAUACAAAAAAAAGAAGAAGCUAUC